UGCGUCCAUGAUACAGAUGGAGGAUAUUGUUUGAUGCAAGAUAUUUUGCAUAGCCCACUCAAAAAGAUUAUAUAAUAAUCAUAAACACCAGUAUAUAAAACUGAGACUAAACUACUACUCUGCAUCAUGGUGUUGUUUAAAUUUCCAUUCUUCACUGCAAAGGCUAUAGCAUAGUGCUGAUCCAAAUACACCAAACUUGCACAGAGAU
rnacentral:lncRNA from 1 species